UUAACAAAACUCCGUUGCCAAACUAUACAAACAAUAUGAUGUCAAACACAUAUUUAAACACUUUUAAAAUAUCUAUAAAACAAUACCUUUUUUUGGAUAUAAUUACUGAAAUAAAUACAAACUUUAAAUACCCAAUCGACAGCCCUGAGCUGAUAAAUCCAAUAGUAACCCAUACUAAACCAACAGCCCAUAAGAACUUAUCAAUAAAAAUAAAAAAAAAACCUGAUACCAAAAGAGAGAAAAGCCAGUAACAGAGGUUUUUCAAGAGGCCCCAUCCACCCAGACCCAGACUCAAGCCCGCACAAUACAAGUUGAAAAUACAAAAACAACAAAAAACACACAUCUAUGCUGUGCUUGAGGCCUGCAAUAAAAAUGUUGUGGUGUUUUUUUAAGAGCAAAAAACGCAGUUUGGUCACCAACUACUAGCAAUCAGUUACUUGUUGGCCUGUGACGAUAUCACAACGUUUUUUUCAAAUCAACUUCGCAAAGAAUUGAAUUCAAUUAUUAAUAAAAUCCCCGUCUGCAUCUCCGUUACCCUCUCGCUGGUGUUCGAAUAUAAUUUAAAAAUGAUCUUAUAAAAAUACAAACAUUCACGCAAACAAAUUGUUAAAUUAAUAAAAUUAGCAACUUUGAUUGACGAAAAUCAAAAAAAUAAAGUGUUGUAAAAAAAAAAUACAAAACACUGUUGUACAUAAUACAAACGUGUUAAAAAGUGAGAUUUUCAAAAAAGAGAAGAAUUUAUAUUAUUUACUUGAAAAAAAGAAAAAAAAAAUAUAACACAAAAUCAGAAAUCACAAAAAUCAUAUACUCUAAGUUUUACUCUAACCAAAUUUAUUUGAUUAGAAGUGUUUGUGUUCUCGUGAAGUUCAAAACUCUGUCGUCGUCGCUAAGUCCAUUAUCUAUCUCCGCCGCCGUUCGUUGCCGCUUAUCAGUU